CAGGAUCCUAAGCAUGAAGUGAAACACGGCCCACUCGCCAGGACCGGCCGGCUGUGUGCUGAGAAGUGGAAGAGGGCGUUAUGCAACUUCGGGACGCACAUGCCGAUGAGCGCCCUCUGCUGGUGGUCCUCCUCCUGGAAAAGCGGCAGCAGCAGCAUCUUCCCGUCUGGAAGAGACGUGGCAGACAAAAAGAAAGCAUUGACGCUCCUGCAGCCUCAGGAAUGACUUCACGUGUGCACCACCUAUGGGGAUGAAGAGCGGAUGUUGCCGGGUGGUGUCGCCCAAAGUGAUCCGGAAAGUCUUGCUGCAGUCUGAAAGAGGACGACGUGAUUACACAGCUUUGUGACAGCAGGAGUGGCUGUGGCCUUACUUGAUGGAGGUGAAGGACUUGGCAUGCAGCUCUAAUGGAAGCUCCAGCUGUUGAAUUGCAACAUGUAAAGGGAGCAGCUGCUGACACACACCUGCCUGUCAAAGGUGUACAGGAGCUAGAGGAAAGAAGCUGUUAGACAAGUCUGCACCAACAGGUAGGCGGCAUUACCAUACACUACCUUAUUCUGCUUGGUGGCGGAGUCGUACUUGCCAACUCUGGUGGUUCCAGUCCACCCCUUUUUGGAGAAUGCAGACUCUCGUUAACCCGGCAUGAACAAAUUUGCAAAAAAGCAGUAAAAAGUAGAGAUAUAUUUUUCUCCUCUUUGCCAAAAUGUGUGCAGUUUUUCAAGGCUGACAUUAAAAAUG